rnacentral:rRNA from 1 species
GACGAACGCUGGCGGCGUGCCUAACACAUGCAAGUCGAGCGGGGAAUUACCCAUGAAGUUUUCGGAUGGAAUGAGUGAUUUCUAGCGGCGGACGGGUGAGUAACGCGUGAGCAACCUGCCUAUCACAGGGGAAUAACGCAUCGAAAGGUGUGCUAAUACCGCAUGAGACCACAGAACCGCAUGGUACAAGGGGUCAAAGAUUUGAUCGGUGAUAGAUGGGCUCGCGUCUGAUUAGCUGGUUGGUGAGGUAACGGCUCACCAAGGCAACGAUCGGUAGCCGGACUGAGAGGUUGAACGGCCACAUUGGGACUGAGAUACGGGCCCAG